UCAAAGAAUCUAGCAUAGAAAUGUUCGUAUAGCAUCUGAAAACAACAGAAGCAGAGGUAUAAGGUGUACGGGGGUCGGCCUCCUGCAUAUCUGGGCGUCCCCCCGCGCCCCCGGCAGGUAAGGACACAGAAAACCACAGGCUAAACCGUGACCACGGGCGAGCUGACCGGGCGGCUCCCUGUCAGGUGGCUGCAAGAGACAGGAGAGCCCAGGCUGGGGGAGUCUCUGGGGGGAAGAGGCCACGUUGGGGGGCAGCGCCCUCUGCUGGACAGCAGCGAGGCGCCCCCAGCACAGGCCGGGCUUGGCUGGGUGUGUGGAGCAGGUUGUCAGGGUCUGUGGCCGGAGGACUUUAGCCAGUUGGGUUUGCCCGGCUUUGAACCUUAGCGAGAUGGAGAAGUAAUUCAAGGCCUGUCAAUCUUUGCACAAAUUAAAUUAGAUGAUACAACGAAAGAAAAGCCUUUUUUUCCCCCCUUCCUAUUUUUUUUUUUCCUUUUAUGGCAGCAUGAAAAUACUUUCUAAAACCUGGCCAGCAGGUGGUAGAUUCCAAAGCUCCUGGGUGACUAGGAAUGUUAGGCUACGCUGGAAGAAAAAUCAAGACACAAACCGCAACCCUCCUCUUUGUCUGCAGAUCAGCGAGAACGACGCGCUGGGCUGGGAACCGGAAGGCAGGCAGGCCACACGUCUCUCUCAACCACUGCCACCAUCUAAGCUGAGGGAUGUUUCUGGGCUUCCAAAUCCCAAGGGCGUCCGAGCACUGGCGGGAGUCCAGCACCGUCUGGGGUCCCCUCCAAACCACCCUGUCUACGGUCACUGAAGCCCACUCACUAGAAUAGGCUCUCCAAGCCCUGCGCGGGGCCUGGCUGCCCUCUGGGCACAACCGUGCACCCAUCAACACCGGGGUGGACGGCAGCCCCGUGCAAAUACCAAAGUCCUCGGGAAGAAAGAACGGGCUUCGGAAAAGCAACUUUAGAGACCAAGGGAUGAAAAACCAAGUACUUCUGUGAACGUCAAUUCCUGGACCGAGUCCUGGCUUCUAAGGUAUGAUUUUCCACCCUUCACUUAAGGCAAAACCUGCUUUAUCAAACCCCCACACACCAACACCUGCCCCCCAUAAGGGUAAAACAAACCCCAUGGGUCUUAAAAUUUUGUGCUGAUACCAGGGGUUAGGCAAGAUAACGAGGGAGAACAUUCUUGAAGGGACAACUUUCAGUGGUGCUACCCUGAGACAUAAGAGGGAAAAAGGUAGGAUUCGUACCUUUUCAAAAAACAAAACAACCCCCAAACUUGAUAAGGACUUCUGCCCCACAGACAGCUCUCGUGGGGGUAGAGAGUGGAAUGUUGGCAAAGGCUGAAUUAUGGCAAACUGCAGGUUUUUACCCCGCCUCCACGAACAUAGCCGAUUGUCUCAAAAAUGAAGCCGACAGAUGAGAGCGGUUAAAGUGCACAUGUCACCCACCUGGGAUGACAGCUUCUGAGAUGAUAGAAGUUUCGAGAAGGAUGCAGCCUCCUUCCAGGAAAUUCACUAGACUCUGGAUGGUUGUCUCUAUCUGUCCCCCCAAACUUAAACGCGACGUCAGGCAUCUGCUUUCUUGAGCCUGGUGGACAAGUGUGGUACCCUACCAGGGGGACACAAUGGAACACCGGGUCGGAGCCACCCUGGCAGACAACCCCUUCUCACAGGAAACGAGGGCUCACGACUCGGGCCCCAGAGCGGCUCUCCAGGUCACCAGCACAAGCAGCAACAAUCCAGGCAGGUCUGCAAGCACAACAACGUCCCCCGGAGUUCAGUUUCACGGGGGAAAGAGGAGAAAGGCAUGUCAGAGCACAGGUCUUAGGAAGCAGUCCUCUCUGUGCUGCAGACCACAUUGUGCGAGAGGGCAGGCCAGGUGGACGCAGGAAGCUACUUUCCAAUUCUGAUUCCACACUGGUCCGACCACAACGCAACCGAGUGGAGUUCCUGGGGUGCGGGGGCAGGUGAAAUCUGUCUGGAAAAAACACCAGCCAAAACAACCAAACAACUUAAACCUUCGAGCAGAUUGGGAGUAAAAGGCACCUUCAAAUCGCCAUUGAGCUGGGCAGCAAUGGACAGAAGCCCAGUGUCCAUGGCGACUCUGUGGGGAGUACAUGGGGAGGCCUGGCCUAUGUGGACACAGAGCAGGAACGCAGGCUUCAUCCGCCAGGGCCAUUCCCCCCAGCAGAGUGCUUCUGGGGGGGGGGGGGAACGUGGAGCCCCAGAGGGGAACCUGAGUUGGGGACGAGGACAGCCAGCCGGGCUCCAUGUGGACCGGAGGAGAACCGUGGCAGGCAGGGCUGUAGCUCAGAGCUGUAUGGGCUGGUGCAAGGAAGUCCUCUACCUUAGGGUCUUGGGGGGAGGGGGGUACAUCGUAGUUCAAAAGAUUAGUUGGUUUGGUUCUGAGAGUCUGUUUCUGAAGGCUAGAUCUCCAGGACAGAAAGAGGCAAAUGUAACCCACAGGUGGCGUUUCUCGACUCUCAAGCAAGGAAGACAACCCUAGAUCAAAGAAGGGAGGUGGGGCAGGAGGAGGGAAGGACACGGACCCCUGCCCCAACCCUUAAUUUUCUUUUGGGCCCUCAAGGCACUUGGACAGACACUGAGGAGUGAGCCGCACUGCUGGCUCAUCAAGUUCCUCGUGGAUCGGAGAGCUGAAACCGUUGGGCUGGUAUGUUUACCCUUAACACACACACACACACACACACACACACACACAAAUAAAUAAACAAAUCUAAGCUAAAAAUUUUAAAGCAGACCUCUUUCAAAUAAACUGAAAGAUAAAUAUCUCCAUCUGCAAGGCCAGCUUGCAAUUCAUCAACAAGCACCAAGUUACAGAUUUUGCUUUUCCAACAAGUAUGUCCCAAGACCCAUGCUCCCUGAGGGGCACUAAGCAGGAAUCAAAGGGUGCACUGAAAGCACAGACUUUUCUAGGCUGUCCCCCUGCAGGGAAGCAGUGAAUCCAGCAGGCACACGGGCCUCAGAGGGGACUCCACGAACUGUCCUGCUCCAACCAGCUGGUGACGAGCCUCGAGCAGACACGGAUCACCCACGGUGGGGGAAAAGACAAAGACCAGGCAGCAUUUGUGGCACCUUCAAGGGGUGACCUACAACAACCGACAGACCUUCAGACUGGAAAAAGGUUUUAAGAGAUCAAAUUCUGCCGAGGCCCCCAAGACAGAAUGAAAACGUUUCUGAGCCACACCUAGGCCAGUGCUCCCCUCGGUCUACACUGGUGGAAAUUGCUGCACACGGGCUGAACUCCUUCACCUGAACCUACGCAGCCGGUUGUCCUGGUAACAGGGGUGGGGACAACCUUGCUGCUGGAGCUGUAGCUUUUCCCUUGGGAGGUUGCCAGGAGGCUGUGGGUCAGUGACAACCAAAAAGUGUCACAAUGCAGGAAAAACAGGAAGCCAGAAUAGGAUUUCUUUGGAUUGGAUGUUGAAAUUAGAUUUUUUUUUUUUUUUAAAUAGCUGAAAUCCCCAAAUCAGGAUGGUGCAGAUCACGUACAAAUAUAUGCUCUUUGAACACAUCACACCUUCUCUCGCUGCUUUUCACAAACGUUCGCCCUCCCUUCCAAAAUGAAAUGAGAAAUACAUGCAAGAAGGGGUGAGGUGUGCACGGGGUAAAGUUCUGGGAAAACCGCCGCAGAGGACCAGGGGAGCCCCAAGCGCCCACACGCUACCUGAGCAGGCUGGGCAGCACUUUCGUUGCCGAGCCGAGCCGGCGCCUGCCACGGAGGGUGCCCGCUUCCAGCAGACCCUACGCAUCCAUGCAGACGGGUACCGGUAUGCACACGGACAAAGUCCCACUAUCUGCUUGUCGGACUGCUGUGUCCCCCAAAUAAAAGGCAGGGUUAACUUCAGACCUUAUUUGGAAACCUCUUUCAGCCUUUAGGAGUUCCUGACGUGCCCCAAACCAGUGCCCGGACCACUGAAACAUCCUCAGUGGAGCCGUUGGCCGCCACCAAUGCCACCAGCCCCGGGCCUCCCACCCCACCCUGACAUUCGAGACCAUCUGUUCCUGGUCCAGGGCCCUGGUCUCCUGGCAUGGGCGUCCACGGUAGGAGAGCACACCCAGGAACGGCAGGACAGUGGGGAGCUGGCAGCCACGGGCCGGGACAGAGGGCAGGGUCAGCAGAAGAUCUCUUCACCCUCCGUGGGCACUUCUGAUGCGGGGCCAUCUGGGAAGGGGACACAAGGUGAAACUUCAGAAAAACUUGGCCUUUUCCUUAUACUCCCUUUUCUUCCUCCCCAACCCAAGUUUCCACCCAGAUGAUGGCCUGGUGGGCGCCUGACCCCACUCGCAGGGUCUCCUUGACCAGUUCCGGGCAUGAGGUCCUCUGACACCCUUCACCGCCUACUGCUCCCUUUAACCUGACAAAGCGUCAGAUCUGUUCACAAACAGGCCUGGAGACAGAAACUUUUCUCUGACCUCCCACAUAGGUGGGAGGGAGUGAUCCUAACGAGAAGGAACAGAGGGGGGUUUAGGGGAAAGGGAUGUGCAAACAGGGAGCCUCAUUUAGGGGGAUUUAAUCCCAAGCUCCGAGCCGGCAGGGACAUCAGUGGUCUGAGCUUCCGUCCCCUAGUUUCUCUCCAGCUGGCAUCACCUACUUCACACACACAGCCACUUGGAGGAUUAAAUCA
rnacentral:lncRNA from 1 species